ACCUGGCUAGCUCAGUCAGUAGAGCAUGUGACUCUUGAUCUUGGGGUUGUGAGUUCAAGUCCUAUGUUGGGUA
rnacentral:tRNA from 1 species